rnacentral:tRNA from 1 species
CGGUCGCGACCGACUCGGUGGCCACCGCCUAUCACGCGGUGCGGACGGCCGGUUCGGUGCGGCGCGGCCGG